UUUUUAAAACCUACGGGCCCAGUGAAUUUUUAUUCUAACGCCUUAAAGGAAGGAAUGAAUUUUAGAGGGCGCGGAAUUUGCAUUUACACGCUGAACCUAAGGAGAUCAAUAAGCUGAGGAAAAGGAGCUCACAAGGAUUCCCCUAGAAAAUGCGAGUGAAGCGGGCAAAGCUCAAACUUUAAAAUCUGGGGGUCUCUGUGGCCCUACGUGUUGUUUCCUAAAGACGUGCUAUCCGCGCUGGACCUGGUGCCAUUCUCCUGGAACGUAGCGUCAUAGAGGGUGAGAAUCCUGUCGUUGACACGGACUACCAGGGCUUAUGUGACGCGCUCUCAAAGAGUCGAGUUGUUCGUGAAUGCAUCUCUAAAUGGGUGGUAAAUUCCAUCCAAAGCUAGAUAUUUGCGAGAGACCAAUAGCGAACAAGUACCGUGAGGGAAAGAUGAAAAGAACUUUGGAAAGAGAGUUAAACAGUAUCGUGAAAUUGUUGAAAGGGAAACGCUUGAAGUCAGUCGCGUAGCCCAGAAAUCAACCUUGCUUUUGCUUGGUGUACUUUCUGGUUAACGGGUCAGCAUCAAUUUUGACCGGUGGAUAAAGGUCAGGGGAAUGUGGCAUCUUCGGAUGUGUUAUAGUCCUUGGUCGCGUGCAUCGAUCGGGAUUGAGAAACUCACGUCUAUGCCGCAAUGCCCUGGCUAUGUUACCCACGAACAUGCUGUAGAGAUGCUGGCAUAAUGCCUUAUAAUACGUCCUGUCGUGCAACACGG
rnacentral:rRNA from 1 species